rnacentral:rRNA from 1 species
CACCGCGGUUAUACGGGUGACUCAAGUUGUUGGUCAUCGGCGUAAAGAGUGGUUAAGACAAACUAUAUAUUAAAGCCGAACGCCCUCAGAGCCGUUAUACGCUUCCGAGAGUAAGAAGUCCAAUCACGAAAGUGGCUUUAUUGUGUCUGAUCCCACGAAAGCUAUGGCA